rnacentral:rRNA from 1 species
GUGAGGAAUUUUGCGCAAUGGGGGCAACCCUGACGCAGCGACGCCGCGUGGAGGACGAAGUCUUUCGGGAUGUAAACUCCUGUCAGUGGGGACGAUAAUGACGGUACCCACAGAGGAAGCACCGGCUAACUCCGUGCCAGUAGCCGCGGUAAGACGGAGGGUGCAAGCGUUGUUCGGAAUUACUGGGCGUAAAGCGUAUGUAGGCGGCAAGUUAAGUUCAAUGUUAAAGCCCACGGCUCAACCGAGGAGAUGCAUUGAAUACUGGCUAGCUAGAGGGUGUUAGAGGAAGACGGAAUUCCCAGUGUAGCGGUGAAAUGCGUAGAGAUCGGGAGGAACAUCCGUGGCGAAGGCGGCCAUCUGGACCAGCACUGACACUAAGGCACGAAAGCGUGGGGAGCAAACAGGAUUAGAAACCCCUGUAGUCC